rnacentral:rRNA from 1 species
GAUGAACGCUGGCGGCGUGCCCAAUACAUGCAAGUCGAGCGAACGGACGAGAAGCUUGCUUCUCUGAUGUUAGCGGCGGACGGGUGAGUAACACGUGGAUAACCUACCUAUAAGACUGGGAUAACUUCGGGAAACCGUAGCUAAUACCGGAUAAUAUUUUGAACCGCAUGGUUCAAAAGUGAAAGACGGUCUUGCUGUCACUUAUAGAUGGAUCCGCGCUGCAUUAGCUAGUUGGUAAGGUAACGGCUUACCAAGGCAACGAUGCAUAGCCGACCUGAGAGGGUGAUCGGCCACACUGGAACUGAGACACGGUCCAGACUCCUACGGGAGGCAGCAGUAGGGAAUCUUCCGCAAUGGGCGAAAGCCUGACGGAGCAACGCCGCGUGAGUGAUGAAGGUCUUCGGAUCGUAAAACUCUGUUAUUAGGGAAGAACAUAUGUGUAAGUAACUAUGCACAUCUUGACGGUACCUAAUCAGAAAGCCACGGCUAACUACGUG